rnacentral:misc_RNA from 1 species
AUUUGCCAAAAACGCAAUAUUGUAAUUCAGCCAACAACGAAAGGGAUUUGAGUUUAUUGAAGAGAGAGAAAAGGGCUGCCUAAUUAAUCAAAUCCCUAGCCCAUUCUUCAAUCUGUUGCUGCACAGAAUUGGAAACGCUAGAACCCAAAAUUUUCUUGUGUUGCUGCGAAGGGGACUCUCGUUUCUGUGUUUUCUUUCUUCAUUCGAACCAGUGACAGUGAGUCCAUUCGUCCAUUGCAGGCCAGAGUGUUCUGCCUUAAUUGUCCAAAACUAUUGAGGAAUCUCAAAAGAAUACUGAUUGGUUUAUGGCAGUGUUGCAAGCAAAUUGGGCAAGCUUUGGGCACACUCUGUUGAAAGACGAGUAAAAAAAAAAGUUCAUGAAACACAGAGAAUAAAAGCAAAAAUACCCAUCAGUGAUAUUGUACAUUGAUCAUACAUUUUGGUGGUGACUAUGGCAAGUGGGCAAGUGACAAAGCGAGUGAAAUACAAGACCUCAGUGAAGGACCCUGGCACUCCUGGUCGUCUUUUAUUGACUAUGGAGAAAUUAGCAUUCAGGCCUAAUAAUCCUAACUCAGCUUCAAAGUUUGACAUGGAGUUUAGAUACAUUAAAAAUCACAAAUACACCAAGGAGGGGUCCAAUAAAGCACCAAUGCUUAAUCUUACCUCAAAUCAGGGUGUAAGUUACAUAUUUGAGUUUGAAAAUUACAACGAUCUCCAAGUUUGCAAAGAAUUUGUGGGAAAAGCCCUUUCCAAGUCUGGAGAAACUCCAAAACCUGCUGAUACUUCACAAUCCCUUUCUGAACAACCCAGUACCGAAGAACUGCUUCUUCGAAUGAACUUGCUGCGAGAAAAUAGUGAGUUGCAGAAACUUCAUAAGCGGUUUGUGAGUGAUGGUGUGUUGACAGAUGCUGAAUUUUGGGCAACAAGGAAGAAGUUGCUCAGUGGGGACUUAAGUAGAAAAUCAAAGCAACGAGUGGGUCUUAAAAGUGUUAUGCUUUCAGACUCCAAGCCACUGAUUGAUGGACGGACAAACAAGGUUACAUUUAAUUUGACACCAGAGAUCGUACGUGAGAUUUUUGCAGAGAAACCAGCUGUUCACCAGGCAUACUUGAAUGUAGUUCCUAACAAGAUGACAGACAAGGACUUCUGGACCAAAUAUUGUAGAGCUGAAUACCUCCAUCAUUCAAAAAAUGCUCAUGCUGCAGCCGCGGAGGCUGCUGAAGAUGAGGAACUAGCUCUUUUUCUGAAACCUGAUGAUAUUUUGGCCAGUGAAACUCGGCGGAAGAUUAGAUGUGUUGAUCCAACUCUAGACAUGGAAGCUGACCAGGGGGAUGAUUAUACACAUCUUCCAGAUCAUGGAAUUGUUCGUGAUGGUAGCAAGGAGAUAACAGAUUCACAGAAUGAGCCAUACAUGAGGACUUUGUUACAGGACCUUAAUCGCCACUCUGCUGUUGUUCUUGCAGGAACAGCUAUAGAUGAUGAGCAGUUGAAAGACACACAAACUGUAGCAGAGGCACUUAUUCAGUCAAAGCAGGGACAUAAGACAGCUAAUGAAGAAGAUGAUGGCAAUGCAAGCCAGGAGAAAUUGAAUAGAAUUUCCAAAAUGAUGGAAAUUGAGGAUCUUCAAGGAUCAAAUGAUCUUCCUUUGGCACCUCUCUGCAUUAAGGAUCCACGGGACUAUUUUGAUUCUCAACAAGCUUGUGCAUUUAAAACUUCAAGAGACACAACUAUUGGAACAGAAGCAGUGAGCACUCGGGAAGCUUAUGGUUCUUUGAGGGACUCCAUUUCUCAGAUUAAAGUUAUGGGAUUGAAUGAUCCCAUAAUUAAACCUGAAGUUGCUAUGAAGGUUCUUUCUGUAUUGACACAUAAUAUCUCAAGCACUAAAUAUCAUCUUGGAAAGAAUCCUAGGGAGAGUGUUUUGGAUGGUUUCCCAAACAAAAUAAAGGAGGAUUUGCUGCAUCAUUGGAUGUCUAUUGAGGAGUUGCUGAGACAUUACUGGUCAUCAUAUCCAGUCACUACUGCAUAUCUUUAUGCCAAGGUAAAUAGACUGAAGGAUGCAAUGUCAAAAAUUGAUUCUCAGCUACAGGAGAUGAAGGAAUCUGUGCAGUCAGAUCUUCGAAAUCAGCUUACACUCCUUAUACGUCCAAUGCAACAGGCUCUGGAGGCAGCCAUGCAACAUCAUGAUGCAGACUUGCAAAAGAGAUUAGCAAAGAGUGGAGAGAGACCAAACGGAUAUGUCUAGAGAUUUUUUUUUCCCUUUGUUCAGUUUGCAGUCAAUAUGCAGCAACACUGUCCAUUUUUUUUGUCCAUCAUAUCAAUUUUGUUGUGAGAUGUUAAGGGUUUCACAUUGCCAUUUGUAAAAGUUGGCCAAUGCUUAUACAAAUGAUUAUAAAGGGUGCAAUGCAUAUUAUCAUAAUCAUAGCAAAAAUAUAAGCGUUCCCAUGUAUAUUUUGCUCUUCAUAACAUUUACUGAUUGUGGAUGCUAUACAAUGUCAAAUGUAUAAGAGAGGCCAAAUAUGUAAAUUUAUUUAUGAACUACUUGUCAAAAGUUAAUUGUAUCCUAUUGAUCUAUUGCGGAGGAGCGUGAGAAG